AAAAAGGGAAUAAAAAAUGAAGAAGGAAAUUAAAAUGCCAUUAAAAGUUCUGAAGCUGCUUUGGGGCUCUGGGGGGGCAGUAGCACCAGCAAGGGGCCAGAUCCACAAAAUCCAGGGGAUGGAAAAGGCAAAUCCCAGCUGGAGCACAGCAGGGUUUGGGGACAACUGGGAAAAUCCAGAAUUCCAGUUUAAAACUGGGAGAAAUCCAGAAUUCCAUCAUUUGGGGUAAAACUGGGAAAAUCCAGGAAUUACAUAAUUUGGGUAAAACUGAGAGAAAUCCAGAAUUCCACAAUUUAAAACUGGGAAAAUCCAGAAUUCCAGUUUAAAACUGGAAAAAUCCAGAAUUCCAAAGUUUAAAACUGGGAGAAAUCCAGAAUUCCAUUUUACAUCUGGGAGAAAUCCAGACUCCCACAGUUUAAAACUGGGAAAAUCCAGAGUUCCCCAAUCCAGAAAUCCCCUUAAACCCCUCUGACCCUGCCAAACACCUUGAAACCCCAAAAAGCUCUGAACACACUUAAAUCCCUCUCUGAAACCCCAAAAAUCACCCCCUGAACCCCCAAAUCUGCUCUGAAUUCCCUUUCUGACCCCCUGCCCCCCUCCUCUGAACCUCUUUGAGCCCAUUUAAGGUCCCUGAGCCCCCUUUUAAACCCUCUCAAAUCUCCUGAACUCACUUAAACCCCUCUUGAGCCCCAAAAAAAGCUCUUUAAACCCCCUUAAACCCCUUUUAAACUCCUCUGAACACCAAUAAAACCCCUUGGAAUGGCUAAAAAUGCCCCUGACACCCUUAAACCCUGCUUGAAUCCCCUUAAAUUCCCUCUAAAGCCCCUAAAACCCCCUGAACAUCCUUGAUUCCCUAAAAGACCCUUUAAUUAUCUUUAUGAACCCUUUUAGAUCCAACUGAACUCCUUUUAGCUCCCCUUAAACGUCUCUGAACCCCAUAAAACUCCCCCAAAAAAACCCUACACACCCCAUAACCCCUAAAAACCCCACUCUGAACCUUCCUGAACUCCCCUUAACCCCCUAAAAAUCCCUUCUGAGCCUCCUUAAUCCCCUUUUUAAACCUCUCCUAAACCCCCUGAACCCUUUCAACCCCCCAAAAAAACCCUGCACAUCCCACAACCCUUAAAAACCCCACUUUGAACUCCCUUUAACCCCCUAAAAAAUCCUUCUGAGGCUCCUUAAACCCCUUUUUAAACCUCUCCUAAACCCCCUGAACCCUUUCAACCCCCCAAAAAUCCCCUCCACACCCCACAACCCCUAAAGACCCCACUCUGAGCCCCCUUAAACCCCUUUUAAACCCCUCCUGAAUCCCCUUUUUAACCCCCCACGGGUCCAGGUGACCUCCAGGAGCACCAGGGACCCUCAACCCCCAAAAUUUGGGGGGGGGGGUCAGACCCCAGUGUGGGAAAACUGCUGGGAAAGCCAAAGGUGAAAUCAAAAAGUCAAAGGAAAACCAAGGGGUGACACCAGCUGGGUUUGGGGGAUUUGGGGCCCUGUGGGGUCCCACAGGGUCUGGGAGCAUCCAGGUGAGCAGGUCCUGAAGGCACAGACCCCAGCAGGUGAGCAGAGCCAGGGGCUGAGUGUCCAGCUGAGCAGAGCCAGGGUCUGAGAGUGUCCAGGUGAGCAGAUCCAUGAUCUGUGAGUGUCCAGGUGAGCAGAUCCCCACUCUGCAGGGUCCAGGUGAGCAGAUCCAGGUGAGCAGAUCCCACCAGGUGAGCAGAUCCAGGGUCUGGGAGUGUCCAGGUGAGCAGAUCCCCCAAUCUGCAGAGUCCAGGUGAGCAGAUCCAGGUGAGCAGAGCCCCCACUCGGCAGGGUCCAGGUGAGCAGAUCUGAGGUCUGGGAACAUCCAGGUGAGCAGGUCCUGAAGGCACAGACCCCAUCAGGUGAGCAGAUCUGAGGUCUUGAGAGUGUCCAGGUGAGCAGAUCCAGGGUCUGGGAGUGUCCAGGUGAGCAGAUCCCCCACUCUGCAGGGUCCAAGUGAGCAGAUCCAGGUGAGCAGAUCCAGGUGAGCAGAUCCCACCAGGUGAGGUCUAAGAGUGUCCAGGUGAGCAGAUCCAUGAUCUGUGAGAUCCCCCACUCUGCAGGGUCCAGGUGAGCAGAUCCAGGUGAGCAGAUCCAGGUGAGCAGAUCCCACCAGGUGAGCAGAUCCAGGGUCUGGGAGUGUCCAGGUGAGCAGAUCCCCCACUCUGCAGGGUCCAAGUGAGCAGAUCUGAGGUCUGAGAGUGUCCAGGUGAGCAGAUCCCCCACUCUGCAGGGUCCAGGUGAGCAGAUCCCAGAAUCCAGCAGUGCCCAGGUGAGCAGAUGCACAUCCCCAGCCUGGGCUGGAGAACAGGCAGCCCCACCCCACAUCCUCAUUUCCCCCCAUUCCUGCCUCCUCCCAGGCUGGAAUUGCUCCUGGCCCAGGUUGAUCUCACCUGGCUGGGGCCAAAAAAGGGGGAAAAAUCCAGAAAUGAGAAGUUCCAGCCCAAAACAGAUCCCAGAGCCUCAGGAAGCUCUGAAGCACAGGUGGGUUUGCCACGAAUUCUACUCCAGGUGACUCUGGAGAAUCCACACCUGGAGAACCUGAACCCAUCCCAGUCUGACCAGUUUGAUGCCACUGGAGAUGCCCAGAGGCAGAAGGAGCUCAGGUGAGCAGGAAGCACCUGAGGAGCAGCACAGGGAACUGCAGGUGCUCCAGGGAGAGUUGUGCAGGAGCAGCACAUCCAUGGAUACCUGUGCACACCUGCAGGGCUGCAAUGGCAGGAACAGGUUCCUUGGGAAACACCUGGAUGGAUGGAGCUCACCUGGGAUGGGCAAGGAGCCAACUGAGAGCUCAGGGAUCAGGCAGGACAGGGCCAGGUGACACUGAGGCACAUCUGUGCACACCUGCAGGGCUCUGAUCCCGCUGGAAUUGGUCCAGGAUCACAGGUAGGGACAGGGACAUUCCCAAAUCCUGGUCCUUGGAAGGCUCCAAGCCCCAACAGCUGCUGCAGGGAUAUCCCAGCAGGUGAAUGAACAUUCCAGAAGGUUCUGACAGGUACAGGUGAUCAAUGCCAGGUGAUGGAGGAGCCAACGAGGAGAUGAAGUUGAUUCAAACCCCCCUCCAAAAUUUUCCAGGUGAGUUUGGGGAUUCCAGUCUUGGGUCUCUUGUUCCAGGUGUGUCCCAAUCCAUCCCACUGCAGGUGAGUGGGAGCAGCACCAGGCCCAGGUGAGACAUUCAUGAAAC